GCACCUUUCCUCCCGUGCAUAUACUAAAAUUGGACCCAUGCAGAGAUUAGCAUGGCCCCAGCGCAAGGAUGACACACAUUCCUUGGAGUGUUCCAUAUUUCU